rnacentral:tRNA from 1 species
GAGGGGUUAGUUAAAUAAUAACAUGACCUUGUCAGAGUCAAAUAACAAGUUAAACCCAUGUACUCCUCC